rnacentral:rRNA from 1 species
GUGACCUCAAAUCAGGUAGGACUACCCGCUGAACUUAAGCAUAUCAAUAAGCGGAGGAAAAGAAACUAACAAGGAUUCCCCUAGUAACUGCGAGUGAAGCGGGAAAAGCUCAAAUUUAAAAUCUGACAGUCUUUGGCUGUCCGAGUUGUAAUCUAGAGAAGUGUUAUCCGCGCUGGACCGUGUACAAGUCUCCUGGAAUGGAGCGUCAUAGAGGGUGAGAAUCCCGUCUUUGACACGGACUACCAGGGCUUUGUGAUGCGCUCUCAAAGAGUCGAGUUGUUUGGGAAUGCAGCUCAAAAUGGGUGGUAAAUUCCAUCUAAAGCUAAAUAUUGGCGAGAGACCGAUAGCGAACAAGUACCGUGAGGGAAAGAUGAAAAGAACUUUGGAAAGAGAGUUAAACAGUACGUGAAAUUGCUGAAAGGGAAACGCUUGAAGUCAGUCGCGUUGUCCAGGGAUCAACCUUGCUUUUGCUUGGUGCACUUUCUGGUUGACGGGUCAGCAUCAAUUUUGACCAUUGGAAAAAGAUUAAGGGAAUGUGGCAUCUUUGGAUGUGUUAUAGCCCUUGGUUGCAUACGAUGGUUGGGAUUGAGGAACUCAGCACGCCGCAAGGCCGGGUUU